GAGUGUGAAAAAGCUGCCAAGGAUGUCACCUGACAAAUGGGGGAAGAGCAAGCUGAUCUUUCUUGGGACAUUUUGUCUCUACUGAAAAGGAGAGAGUAGGAACAGGGAAGCCAUUGAGGAAGUAACAGCUUGCAUCAGGCAAGGAACAUCAUGCCUGACUGUCUUCUUGGCAACAGACAGCAACCAAGGACUUCCAAAGAAAGGAUGAGUUAGUGAGGAAACUCAGGUUGUGCUGACUAGCACCAGCCUACGAAACCAACAAGAGGUCUUGGAGUCUCCAGCAAGAUGGAACUGGCUUCCCAGUGACUGCUGUCACCUGCAGGAAUUGGCAGCGCUUUCCGCAGUCCACAUUGGCUCUGCAUUUGGCCGUUCACUGGUAUCCUGUCAGAUGAUGAGGCCAGAGAGGAGCCCAGACAGCAACUGUGGUGCUUCCUGACAGAGUCAAG